GGUUCCUUAGCUCAGUUGGUUAGAGCGUGGUAAGUCCGAUACAACAAAAUAGAUUAUUAGAUGAUGUACUAAUCGAGUCUUAGGUGCUAAUAACGCCAAGGUCGCGAGUUCGACCCUCGUAGGGACCA
rnacentral:tRNA from 1 species